GGAAGGGUACCAGAGAAUCUAGGUUGCCUACCAAGGUUAUCUGGAUGAGGAGAAUGCGUGUCCUCAGGAGGUUGCUCCGUAAGUACAGGGAGGCAAAGAAGAUUGACAAGCACAUGUACCAUGAUAUGUACUUGAGGGUAAAGGGUAAUGUGUUCAAGAACAAGUGUGUAUUCAUGGAAAGUAUUCACAAACCCAAGGCAUAGAAGGCCAGAGAGAAGACUUUGUCUGACCAGUUUGAGGCUAAGCGUGCUAAGAACAAGGAUAGCAGAGAAAGGAAGCAUGCUUGGAGGGAGGAGCGUUUGGAAGCGGGACCCGUCGAUAAAGUGGCAGCACCCACACCUGCACCUCAAGCAGCUACCGGGGCACCAAAGAAAUCCAAGAAAUGAGCAAACUGUUCAGAAGUAAUAUCAUUGAUCAGUACGUAGAACUAGC